AUUUAAGUAGUUUAAUUAAAAAUAUUGAUUUGUGAUAUCAAAGAUAUAAUAAUUUAUCUUAAAUA
rnacentral:tRNA from 1 species